rnacentral:rRNA from 1 species
AUUGAACGCUGGCGGCAGGCCUAACACAUGCAAGUCGAACGAGUGGCGGACGGGUGAGUAAUGUCUGGGAAACUGCCUGAUGUAGGGGGAUAACUACUGGAAACGGUAGCUAAUACCGCCUAACAUCGUUUGUGCCCUGAGGGGAUGAGCUAGUAGGUGGGGAAAAGGCUAACCAAGACGACGAUCCAUAGCUGGUCUGAUAGGCUGACCAGCCACACUGGAAUUGAGACACGGUCCAGACGCCUACGGGAGGCAGAAGUGGGGAAUAUUCGACAAUGGGCGCAAGCCUGAUGCAGCAAUGCCGCGUGUAUGAAGAAGGCCUUCGGGUUGUAAAGCACUUUCAGCGGGGAGGCGGUACCUGCAGAAGAAGCACCGGCUAACUCCGUGCCAGCAGCCGCGGUAAUUC